rnacentral:tRNA from 1 species
AUUCAAUUAGUAUAUAAAAGUAUAUUAAGCUUCCAACUUAAAGGGUUAUAAAAAUAAAUUGAAUA